AGUAAAGUAUGGUUGUGAACGUUUAAUUUUAAAGUAAUUAUUGCGCAUGAGUGACAAUGUAUAAAGGGGGGUCAUCACCAGUAAUAAGACGGGGGGACAGUCUGUAACUUACCGCGAAUAAAUUAAGACGUUGCUCUACGACUAAUAAAUUAUAUCUUUAUAUUAAUAACUAAUCUGUUUUAUUCUAUCAUUUCCUGACAAAAACAUUACUACACAACACUCAAUUAAAUAAACGACUUUUUCGACUGCUUUUUGUAUUUUUAAUCGACUAAUCGACUUUUUUUGUGUUUUAAAGUGGAUCCUAGGCCUUCAAGUCGUAAAAUUAUUAUACUUUUGCAGUCUAUCAACUCUAACAAUUUUGAAUCUAUUUUUUUCUGUACUUUGUAGGUUUAGAAAUUUGAGAAAUAUAGAGAAAGAAGGAAAGAAGGAAGGAGGGAGGGAGGGAGGGAGAAGCUGAGUGAAAAAAGGUGAAAUUAUAUAGACAAUUUGGAGGUUGUUAAAAUUUGAAGAGGUGGUCGUUUUCGUCACGCCUUUUAUACUAGAGGCUAUGAGUUUUUGUGAAUAUUGUAUUGGAAGGGCCUUAUUAUUACUUACUUUAGUUUGUGAAGAGCGCUUUAUUCCCCAUGGGUCAUGGAAUAAUUGUGCGUUAGUGGGUCCCUGUCAUUCUCAAGUGCCUGUGGGCAAUGGAGCCUGGGAUGCUGGAGUCGAGUGUUGGUGGUAAAACGGCAAACUUUAUAAAAUGUAAACGGAGAACACAGGUGCAUAGAAGUGAAGUGGAACCCCCCUGGUUUUGAAAACGGUUGACUUGCCAUAGUCAAUAGUGUCCACUCAAUCCACUUCAAGUGGAUUCUCUCUCUCUCAUUCUCUCCCUGUGUUACCGAUACUCCAAAACACCUCGAGCAUCCAUUGUUCUCUGUAAAAGAUAUACUUCCCGGAAAUUGUGAUACCUGGGCCCCUCUAAUUAUCCGUCUCUCGAUGGUUUAAAGUCCGGAGCCAGUCACAGUGGAUGUUGACGUCGCGACUUGUUCUCGAGAUAAAAAUUAGUCAAGGGAUGAAUACUUGUUUCUUUCAUUGUCUGUGGAGAUAGUUGAUCCAGGAGAGGUAACUGUCAGGCAGAAAUUGUAAUGAACCCAUCAUCGACAAUGGUAAACGAUUCAUCAAAUCGAAUAGCGAGUGUCUGACAGCUCAUAAAAUGUUGAAUCGUUUUCACGAUGUUACUAUAUAACGUGCAAGCUUAACGUAUUACAGAGUCGUUCUCAAGGAUGUUAAAUAAUCGCAACCAAUUACCUUCACCUAGAACUAGAACUUGUUUCGGAUAUACACUUGAUGUCAUUUGAAGAUCCGCACGUGGGUGCAAGAUAACUAAAAUAGAGAGGAGAGCGCCUUCCUCCCUGGUAAAUUGGAUUAGUUAAUAAACGAGAGUUCGGAGGGUAAGAGCAAAAUUAUAGUAUUGAAUUUGAAAUGAUUCAAAAGGUUAAUGCUGAAGAGACAUUCAUUCAUUAAGUUCAAUUGGCGCCAGGAAUAUCGUUUACGAUCUCAUUUGUAGAUAUUUGUUACUCUUCUUCAUUGAAUUUAAUCUCAAAUAACCAUAAAUUACGAGUGUUUGUUCUGUGAUUGGCUUUCAUCUUCGAUACAUUAUGAUUCACUUGCCGCUACUCGCAAAGAAUUUUUUGAGAAAAAUUAUUUUCUUUCGCGUGCGACUUUAUUUUAUUUACUUUUUUUUAUUCAAGACUUCAAUUUUAAUACGAAUUAAUUCAAUUUAACAAAAAUAACAAGAAAUAACAAAUAAAAUAACAAGAAUUAUUCAACUACAAGUUGUCUAAACUCGAAAAAAUUUGAUGAAAAUUUAUUCCCGCGUGGGAUCGAACCCCGAACGGAUAAUCAAAGCUGGCUUGCAAAGCGCUUUAACGUCUUCGGCUAACAUGAACUUGGUAAAUUCUUUUUCAAUAUAAUUGAAA